rnacentral:rRNA from 1 species
ACUCCUACGGGAGGCAGCAGUGGGGAAUAUUGCACAAUGGGGGAAACCCUGAUGCAGCCAUGCCGCGUGUGUGAAGAAGGCCUUCGGGUUGUAAAGCACUUUCAGUAGGGAGGAAGGUAGUGUAGUUAACACCUGCACUAUUUGACGUUACCUACAGAAGAAGCACCGGCUAACUCCGUGCCAGCAGCCGCGGUAAUACGGAGGGUGCGAGCGUUAAUCGGAAUUACUGGGCGUAAAGCGCAUGCAGGCGGCCUGUUAAGUCAGAUGUGAAAGCCCGGGGCUUAACCUCGGAAUUGCAUUUGAAACUGGCAGGCUAGAGUCUUGUAGAGGGGUAGAAUUUCAGGUGUAGCGGUGAAAUGCGUAGAGAUCUGAAGGAAUACCAGUGGCGAAGGCGGCCCCUGGACAAAGACUGACGCUCAGAUGCGAAAGCGUGGGAGCAAACAGGAUUAGAUACCCCUGGUAGACUGUCA